rnacentral:rRNA from 1 species
UACAGAGGAGCCAAGCGUUGUCCGGAUUGACUGGGCGUAAAGCGCACGCAGGCGGUCGCGCGCGUGGGGUGUGAAAUCUGGCCGCUUAACGGCCAGGCGCCAUCCCAUACGGCGCAACUGGAGCCUUGCAGAGGUCGGUGGAAUUGCCGGUGUAGUGGUGAAAUGCGUAGAGAUCUGGAGGAACACCGAUGGCGAAGGCAGCCUUCUGGGCCAACACUGACGCUCAUGCACGAAAGCGUGGGGAGCAAACAGG